AAUUUUCAAUAUAUUUAACAAUUAAUAUUACAGAAACACACAUCAUACACCACUUGUUCCACUACAAUUUAUUUCUUCUGUUUAUUUGAAAUAUAGUUUCAGUUAUUUGUAUAUGGUUGUAGAGAAUAAAUCUCUCCUCUAUCUCCUAGAGGGUUUUUGAAUGUCGCGCGGAAAUGUGUUAAACCGUUACCCCGCCCCCCUAUUGUUUUUUAUGUCGCGUCCGUUGCAACAGAAGCCGAGUAUAAGAGCCGAAAUAAUAAACCGAAUUGGGGGUAGAGGCUGAUUACCCCUAUUAUGCGACAGUGGGCGAGGAAACGAAUGAAGCGGAAUAAAAAGAAAGAAUGGAAGGGAAAGAGGCUUCAGGGAUUCCGUCGAGCCGAGUGAAACUGCGAACGACAGAUGUGAGGACUGCCAAUACGUCAUUCGAAUGUCAAUAAGUCGAGGAUGGAAGAUUUCUAGCCCGCAAAUGGCAGCAAUAUUUCUAGGGACAUCGUUAUGGGGUUUGGAAAGUGUUAACUCCAGAAAGGUGGAGCUAACUUACAAUUAGAGUAAGUUGUUUGUAGAUCUGUGUAAAGACAUCAAAGGACUUCGAAGACAUGUAUGAAGACACGACAAGAUCACUGUUUUUUCCAUUCAUGACCCGUUGAAUAUUCACUGUUUUCUUCAUGAAUUCCAUUCGCGAGCAUUGUCCAUAUAUUUUUAAUCAUAUUUAUAUUCGCCGAAUGUGACGUACAUUUUAACGUUUAAAUAGUGCGAUUCAGUAAUGUGUAUCAUUAAUUGUAUAAACUGUUUUACGUGUUGUCCAUUAUUUAGUCGUUUUUAUAGUGAAUUUUGUAUUUAAAUUUGUGGUCUUCAUCGUCCAAUUUUAUAUUGUACUUCUAAUUUAAAUAUGUGGUUAUUGGUCAGUUUUAUAGUUUACUUGCAAUUUAAGUACAUGGAAGUUAAUCCUCCAAUUUUAUAGUUUACAUCCAAUUUAAGAAUGUGAUGAUUCAUCCUCCAAUAUCAUAGUCUAUUUCCAAGUUAAAUAUGUGAUCAUUAAUUGUUCAAUUUUAUAAUUCACUUCAAACUUAAAUAUGUAAUCAUUAACACUAUUUCUAUCACGAUUAUGUGAUACCUAUUUCGACCCAAAGGUGUCUUUUGACGCCCCUCCGUUUGAAUACAAAUAAUUGCCAAAACUUGGGAUUUCAAAUUAUCAAAUAUAGAUAAUUUCAGGAAUAUAUUGAUGCGUUUUUAUUAGAGAUUAUCAGGUUGUAAAUUUUAGCUUAAUUCAUCAAUCUACAAAAUACAUAUAAAUAUAGCGGUGUACAGUAAAAUGCAACAUGGCGUGAUAUAAGCGAAUAUCAAAGUUAUGCCGCAACUCCUGUAGUUUCCGUUAUAACUGAAAUCAGAAUUCUCUAAUCACAUUAUAAUUGAUAUGAUGCUGCAAAAUGGUGUUAAUAUUUGUAUGUAAAAUGCUUAAAAAUUAAGCACUGUCAUGAAAUUCUUAAGGUGUGAAAACCUCCUGGUAGAAAUAAGUAUACCAUAUGCACAUUUGUAGACCUAAAUGAGCUGGAAGAAAAUGAUGUCGCCGAAUUAAUUUAACAACUAUUGUAUGAAAGGUCAAAAAAUUAAUUGUGGAGAAAUGAUUCAACUUAGAGAAUAAUUUUAAGUUAAAAUUUGAACGGUGUCUUUUGACAUCUCUUGAUAGGAAUAGUGUUAAUCAUCCAAUUUUAUAAUUUACUCCCAAUUUAAAUACGUGAUGAUUAAUCGUCCAAUUUUAUACUUUAUUUCCAAUUUCAAUAUGUGGUCAUUAAUCGUGUAAUUUUAUAAUUUCUCUCUAAUUCAAAUACGUGGUGAUUAAUCCAUAAAUCCAGAUUCAAGGGUCCUGAGGAAUUAAUUGACACCUCUUGAUUGAAAUAGUGUUAAAUAAAUAAUUAUAAGUCAUCUUUCGAGUGCAGAGAACAUAUUCCAGGCCCACGAGAUUGAAAAAAAUAAAAGCUGAAGUUGUACCAAAUUUUCAUCAAAAUUAAAUUAAAUUAAAUUGUCAAAGGUUCGUCGGUUAAAUAAAUUCCACCCUUGUUUAACCGCAUCAUAAAGUAAUGUAAAUAUUGGUCACUGGUUUGAUAGCAUUUGUAGCAAACACUAGACCGAAUAUUGGCUAACGAUCAGGUAUCGACGAAACAAAUCAACAUUAACCAAUAUUGGAUGGAAUAUAACAUUGGCCAAUGUUUGCCGAACGCUAUUCGAGUCUAUGCAAGUUGUGUUUAUAAACUAUGAAUGUUAUGAACAAGAAUUUCGUGAACCAGAUUCUGAUUACGUAUCGAUUGGUAUUAGACCAAUGUUAAUUUGUAUCUAGAAUCAACUAUUCAUAAUUGAAUAGCUCUGAACAGAUCGAUAGCUAUACAAAUUUGA